AAAAUUGCAUGUUCUGUAUAUAAAGUGCAGAGAAUCUUGCAACUGUCAUAUCUUCAUAUGGUAUAAACGUUCAUGUCUGCUGGCAGCUGAAAAAAGAGGCAUGAUAGAAAUUGCGAUUAAGGCAAUUUUUUUUUUUAAAGGGGUGUUAAGUUUAAGACAAGUUUAACAUAAUGGUAAUGGCACAGAUUAACUAGGGUGGGGUGUGAGGGUGCAGCAAAUAGGGCAAUGCAUGUAUUACAGACAUAAAGUGAACCAGAUUCUAAGGAUGAGAUU